CUUUCUCAAAGACACCGCACUGCC
rnacentral:piRNA from 1 species